AGAAAGCAAGGAUGAUGAAUCAAUUAGAUGUGUGAAAGGAAUUUUCCUUUCUGAACUCAAACUUUUGAGGCAUAUUUGUAAGUCUGACUUGCUCUUU